rnacentral:rRNA from 1 species
AUGCAAGUCGAACGGCAGCACGAGAAAGCUUGCUUUCUUGGUGGCGAGUGGCGGACGGGUGAGUAACGCGUAGGAAUCUGCCUGGCAGCGGGGGACAACUCCGGGAAACCGGAGCUAAUACCGCGUACGCCCUACGGGGGAAAGAUGGCCUCUUCUUGAAAGCUGUCACUGCCAGAUGAGCCUGCGUUGGAUUAGCUUGUUGGUGGGGUAAUGGCCCACCAAGGCGACGAUCCAUAGCUGGUCUGAGAGGAUGAUCAGCCACACUGGCACUGAGACACGGCCCAGACUCCUACGGGAGGCAGCAGUGGGGAAUAUUGGACAAUGGGCGCAAGCCUGAUCCAGCAAUACCGCGUAUGUGAAGAAGGCCUUAGGGUUGUAAAGCACUUUCAAUUGGGAAGAAAAGCACCUGGUUAAUACCCGGGUGUCCUGACGGUACCUUUAGAAGAAGCACCGGCUAACUCCGUGCCAGCAGCCGCGGUAAUACGGAGGGUGCAAGCGUUAAUCGGAAUCACUGGGCGUAAAGCGCACGCAGGCGGCCUGUUAAGUCAGAUGUGAAAGCCCCGGGCUCAACCUGGGAACUGCAUUUGAUACUGGCAGGCUAGAGUAUGGGAGAGAGAAGUGGAAUUCCACAUGUAGCGGUGAAAUGCGUAGAUAUGUGGAGGAACAUCAGUGGCGAAGGCGACUUCUUGGCCCAAUACUGACGCUCAGGUGCGAAAGCGUGGGGAGCAAACAGGAUUAGAUACCCUGGUAGUCCACGCCGUAAACGAUGUCUACUAGCCGUUGGGGAGAUUUACUUCUUAGUGGCGCAGCUAACGCAUUAAGUAGACCGCCUGGGGAGUACGGCCGCAAGGCUAAAACUCAAGAAAUUGACGGGGGCCCGCACAAGCGGUGGAGCAUGUGG